CGCGUAGGCGGCAUUGCAAGUCAGAUGUGAAAGCCCCGGGCUUAACCUGGGAAUUGCAUCUGAAACUGUUUUGCUUGAGUCCUGGAGGGGAUAGUGGAAUUCCCAGUGUAGCGGUGAAAUGCGUAGAUAUUGGGAGGAACACCUGCGGCGAAGGCGGCUAUCUGGACAGUGACUGACGCUGAUGCGCGAAAGCUAGGGGAGCAAACA
rnacentral:rRNA from 1 species